rnacentral:sRNA from 1 species
AAAAGCUCUCUUUGGGCUUUCCGAAAAGGUAUCACAUGCCAUGUUUAGCCUCACGGUCUAAAAGUUAUAGAGUCAUACAUUUUUAACAAAACAAAAUAGAGAAAAACCAAAAAAACGAGGGAUGCAACACGAGGACUUUCUGGGAAGUCACCUAUCCUAGUACUACUCUCGCCCAAGCACCCUUAACUGCGGAGUUCUGAUGGGAUCCGGUGCAUUAGUGCUGGUAUGAUCGCAUGUGUUACUACAUGCAAUGUAAUCGUAUCUAUUGCUUUUAAAGACUUUAUGAUCCAUUUGCCGUGGGUCCCACCAGCUAUGUAGGAAUACCCUAUCUUCUUUAUAAGAGUUUUCAUACAUGCAAAAUAUUGGAAAACAAUGUCCGAACAUAUAAUUUUCCCCCCGUAAUAUAGCAAAGAUCACGAAAAGGCCCAAAAAAGUACAUUUAGUUCAAAAUUUGGAGUAGAAAAAAAAACAAUAGAAAAUUUCCAAUUUCCUUCUUCAUUCAUCGGAGAGCUCUCUUUGGGCUUUCCGAAAAGGUAUCACAUGCCAAGUUUGGCCUCACGGUCUAAAAGUUAUAAAGUCAUACAUUUUUAACAAAACAAAAUAGAGAAAAACGGAAAAAGAGGGAUGCAACACGUGGACUUUCCGGGAGGUCACCCAUCCUAGUACUACUCUCGUCCAAGGACCCUUAACUGCGGAGUUCUGUUGGGAUCCGUUGCAUUAGUGCUGGUAUGAUCGCAUGUGUUACUACAUGCAAUGUAAUCGUAUCUAUUCUUUUUUAAAGACUUUAUGAUCCAUUUGCCGUGGGUCCCACCAACUAUGUAGGAAUACCCUAUCUUCUUUAUAAGAGCUUUGAUACAUGCAAAAUAUUGGAAAACAAUGUCCGAACAUAUAAUUUUUCCCCCAUAAUAUAACAAAGAUCACGAAAAGGCCCGAAAAAGUACAUUUAGUUCAAAAUUUGGAGUAGAAAAAAACCAGUUUAAGAAUUCCAUUUUCCUUCCUCAUUCAUCGGAGAGCUCUCUUUGGACUUUCCGAAAAGGUAUCACAUGCCAAGUUUGGCCUCACGGUCUAAAAGUUAUAGAGUCAUACAUUUUUAACAAAACAAAAUAGAGAAAAACAGAAAAAAGAGGGAUGCAACACGAGGACUUUCCGGGAGGUCACCCAUCCUAGUACUACUCUCGCCCAAGCACCCUUAACUAC